rfam:Anaerolineaceae bacterium 4572_78 ex4572_78_scaffold_5088, whole genome shotgun sequence.
GCCGAAGUGGCGGAAUAGGCAGACGCGCACGACUCAAACUCGUGUGGAGCAAUCCAUGUGGGUUCGAUUCCCACCUUCGGCA